ensembl:lincRNA 4930463O16Rik RIKEN cDNA 4930463O16 gene
AUGCCCAGUGCUCGGGAACCCCAGAAGAAUGCCAGGAAGUACAAGUCCGAUGUUAAAACAAAGAGACUCAGAGCAAAGUCUUUCCCAUUGUGCAGGUUAGGGAUGUGAUGCCCGCAUCCAGGGGCUUGGAGUAUAUAUACACGUGCAUAUUCAUAGGCAGAGCUCCGCGAACUUGAGUUACGUGACUGGGGAGGUGACGAGGGAAAGCUAUCCUUCAAACCCGAUAACGUUUGUUCAGGGGCAGAACCAUGCAGCUGGGAGGGGGACCCUCCUGACCUGGGAAGUAACUUUAUGGAGCUAUCAGGAGCUAGUGUAUUUUUACAAACUGGUUGCAGCUGUCUGGGAACACUUAAUUGCCCUUCCUUCAUGGUCCAAGCAUGGGCCUUUUAUCAUUUCAAGGAUGUUUGGUCCUUGUUCCCUUCAAGGGCAGGAGCCUUCUGCACCUGAGAAAGGUUUCUGGAUCCAGCUGAAGAGCUCUAUCAUUCCAUCAAAACCAUGA